rnacentral:lncRNA from 1 species
UUUCCCCUUUUGGGACUAUCCCACUAGUUCCAUUGAGUCAGGCAAGCUCCAUCAAGAGCAGCUAAAGUAUUUGAAAGAAAACAAAUAAUAUUUGAACCCAGGUCUGUGUACUUCUUCCUGGAGGAGUGAUCCAGUGGAAAUAGAAGCAGUUAGGCAGGGGUCUCCAACCUUUUCCAACAUGAGAGCUGCUGGAAAAAAAUGAAACAUGUCGCAAGCUACUUUUCUUUUUUUAAUUUUUUUUAUUUCACACACACUUCUCUUCUUCUCUCCCAUGCAACGCUUCUCUUCUUCUCUCCCAUGCAAGGCUUCUCUUCUUCUCUCCCAUGCAACGCUUCUCUUCUUCUCUCCCAUGCAGGGCUUAUCUUCUUCUCUCCUAUGCAACUCUUCUCUUCUUCUCUCCCGUGCAACGCUUCUCUUCUUCUCUCCCCUGCAACUCUUCUCUUCUUCUCUCCCGUGCAACGCUUCUCUUCUUCUCUCCCGUGCAACGCUUCUCUUCUUCUCUCCCGUGCAACUCUUCUCUUCUUCUCUCCCGUGCAACUCUUCUCUUCUUCUCUCCCGUGCAACUUUUCUCUUCUUCUCUCCCGUGCAACGCUUCUCUUCUUCUCUCCCGUGCAACGCUUCUCUUCUUCUCUCCCGGGCAACUCUUCUCUUCUUCUCUCCCGUGCAACUCUUCUCUUCUUCUCUCCCGUGCAACUCUUCUCUUCUUCUCUACCAUGCAACUCUUCUCUUCUUCUCUCCCAUGCAACGCUUCCCUUCUUCUCUCCCAUGCAACUCUUCCCUUCUUCUCUCCCGUGCAACUCUCCCCCGGGUCCAUGGUGUACUAGAGAUGUGUUUUCUGUCAAUAUUCAAAUAAAAAAUGGAAUCAAAUGUUCUUUGUCACAGUCUAACCCAGUGGAGGGGGAGUAGUUAGGGUGUCCCUAACCAACAGAACUACAGUCUAACCCAGUGGAGGGGGAGUAGUUAGGGUGUCCCUAACCAACAGAACUACAGUCUAACCCAGCGGAAGGGGAGUAGUUAGGGUGUCCCUAACCAACAGAACUACAGUCUAACCCAGUGGAGGGGGAGUAGUUAGGGUGUCCCUAACCAGUAGAACUACAGUCUAACCCAGUGGAGGGGGAGUACUGUCGUUAGGGUGUCCCUAACCAACAGAUGUGGCAGGGCUUGAAAACUAUUACGGACUACAAAGGGAAACUUUAGUUUAUGUAGUAAAUCUUUUCUUAACUCUAUUUAUUUAACUGCAUUGUCGGUUAAGGGCUUGUUAGUAAGCGUUUCACGGUAAAGUCUUUAUUUGUUGUAUUCGGCGCUUGUGACAAAUAACAUUUUGAUUUGAUCUGAAGGGGAGUAGUUACCAGCGGUACCCACUUCACCCUCAACGAUGAGG